rnacentral:rRNA from 1 species
GACGAACGCUGGCGGCGUGCUUAACACAUGCAAGUCGAACGGAAAGGCCCUGCUUUUGUGGGGUGCUCGAGUGGCGAACGGGUGAGUAACACGUGAGUAACCUGCCCUUGACUUUGGGAUAACUUCAGGAAACUGGGGCUAAUACCGGAUAGGAGCUCCUGCUGCAUGGUGGGGGUUGGAAAGUUUCGGCGGUUGGGGAUGGACUCGCGGCUUAUCAGCUUGUUGGUGGGGUAGUGGCUUACCAAGGCUUUGACGGGUAGCCGGCCUGAGAGGGUGACCGGCCACAUUGGGACUGAGAUACGGCCCAGACUCCUACGGGAGGCAGCAGUGGGGAGUCUUGCACAAUGGGCGGAAGCCUGAUGCAGCAACGCCGCGUGCGGGAUGACGGCCUUCGGGUUGUAAACCGCUUUCGCCUGUGACGAAGCGUGAGUGACGGUAAUGGGUAAAGAAGCACCGGCUAACUACGUG